UCACACGACCACGACACAGUAUUUUCCGCAUUUCCUAGCAACAAUCUUACGCAUUUUGCUUUCUCCUCUGCUCUUGGCAACAUCAUUUUUCUCAGUCUUUCGCUCCUGGCACAUAGGUUCUAGUGUUCUGUCAUUUCAAAGGUUCUAUAAUUUUCAUAGUCUUAGCAUUGGAUCUGUGGUUCUGGGAGAUAUUCAUUGGCACUGCAGUGAAUUGGGUCUCAGAACUUGUUCAGUAUGUUGGUAAUUCACCAAUGAUAUGAUAUCAUCAUUGGACUUAGAAAAUACAUACUAAUUGCUAAAUAGGAUGAAAAGAAUCUUGUAUGUAAAUAUGAUAAGUUUUGUUUUUAUUCACAAAUAUUAAAUUCAA